AUCAAAAGAAGGAAAAAGAAAACAAACGAAGAAGGGAGAAAAAUUAUGUCUUUGCCAAAUGAGAGUCGCACUCUCACAAAGGCUUUCUCUGGAAUACUUGGAGUUGACGAGAAAUCAAUGAUGGAGAUCUUAGUAAAAUGGCAUCCAAAAGACUUGACAACUUUUAGGAAUGAAAGUUCUUCCAUCUUUCUUAAGGAUAAAUAAUUCUUGUUUGCGAGAUGGCAAGAUUAUCAUAUUGCAUUUCUAGUAAAGGAAUUUCUGCGUUUUCAGGAUGUUGUGGUGCAAUGGACCAUGCAUCCUUGGGAAAGAGAUGCUCGCAUGGUAAGGAAGGCUUUGAACGGACACCCUCAAGCAUAUGGCUUACUCAUUGAACUUGCAUGCAUCAAAUCAUCAGACGAGCUCUUGGAAGCUAGGAAAGCAUACUAGUCCCUCUACAGUGAAUCCAUCGAGGAAGAUGUUGCUUCCUGAGUUGAAGGCAUCAAACGCUAGGUUAAUACUACUUUUAGUUAUGUUUUUAUUUCUUUUUUUCUUUUUUGCAUCAAA